GACGAACGCUGGCGGCGUGCCUAAUACAUGCAAGUCGAGCGAAUCAAUGGGAGCUUGCUCCCUGAGAUUAGCGGCGGACGGGUGAGUAACACGUGGGUAACCUGCCUGUAAGACUGGGAUAACUUCGGGAAACCGGAGCUAAUACCGGAUACGUUCUUUUCUCGCAUGAGAAGAGAUGGAAAGAUGGUUCUGCUAUCACUUACAGAUGGACCCGCGGCGCAUUAGCUAGUUGGUGAGGUAACGGCUCACCAAGGCGACGAUGCGUAGCCGACCUGAGAGGGUGAUCAGCCACACUGGGACUGAGACACGGCCCAGACUCCUACGGGAGGCAGCAGUAGGGAAUCUUCCGCAAUGGACGAAAGUCUGACGGAGCAACGCCGCGUGAGCGAAGAAGGCCUUCGGGUCGUAAAGCUCUGUUGUUAGGGAAGAACAAGUACGAGAGUAACUGCUCGUACCUUGACGGUACCUAACCAGAAAGCCAUGGCUAACUACGUGCCAGCCGCCGCAGUAAAAC
rnacentral:rRNA from 1 species